UACGAAGGGGGGCUAGCGUUGCUCGGAAUCACUGGGCGUAAAGCGCACGUAGGCGGGUCGUUAAGUCAGGGGUGAAAUCCUGGAGCUCAACUCCAGAACUGCCCUUGAUACUGGCGAUCUCGAGUUCGGGAGAGGUGAGUGGAACUGCGAGUGUAGAGGUGAAAUUCGUAGAUAUUCGCAAGAACACCAGUGGCGAAGGCGGCUCACUGGCCCGAUACUGACGCUGAGGUGCGGAAAGCGUGGGGAGCAAACAGGGAGUUAAGAUAUCCCGAAGGUAGUUCCCGAGGACCAACGAUC
rnacentral:rRNA from 1 species